rnacentral:misc_RNA from 1 species
AAUAUACUACAGCCCUAUGGAGUUCAAAACUCACAUUCUCAUGUCUCAUGUCAACAGGAAACAAUUAUCAAAGGUUGGAAUGAUAAAAAGGACAGAAUCAUAGCUACAAAGGCACUAUUUUUACAUAAUCAACAUUUGCAGAGAGAGAGAGAGAGAGAGAGAAGAUGUACUCAGCCUUCAUAAUCCACCUAAGCUCCCAAGCAAAAGGGCCCCAAAUAAUCAAGAUGGCCCCAGGAAAUAAUCACAGAAGAAAGCAAGUCUAAGAUGGACAAUGUGACCCUAAUACUUUCUUUUCAUGGAUUUAAUUAAACUGAUACCUUGUGUAAAUAUAUGUCACUCACUUCCCAAGUUUAGUGAACCAUCCUUCAUCAACUUCAUGCUUAGACUGUUAAAUCUUCCCCUGGAAUAAUGACGGGAAGCCUUCCU